UACACUCCUACGGGAGGCAGCAGUGGGGAAUUUUGGACAAUGGGCGAAAGCCUGAUCCAGCAAUGCCGCGUGAGUGAAGAAGGCCUUCGGGUUGUAAAGCUCUUUUGUCAGGGAAGAAACGGUGAGAGCUAAUAUCUUUUGCUAAUGACGGUACCUGAAGAAUAAGCACCGGCUAACUACGUGCCAGCAGCCGCGGUAAUACGUAGGGUGCAAGCGUUAAUCGGAAUUACUGGGCGUAAAGCGUGCGCAGGCGGUUUUGUAAGUCUGAUGUGAAAUCCCCGGGCUCAACCUGGGAAUUGCAUUGGAGACUGCAAGGCUAGAAUCUGGCAGAGGGGGGUAGAAUUCCACGUGUAGCAGUGAAAUGCGUAGAUAUGUGGAGGAACACCGAUGGCGAAGGCAGCCCCCUGGGUCAAGAUUGACGCUCAUGCACGAAAGCGUGGGGAGCAAACAGGAUUAGAAACCCUGGUAGUCCC
rnacentral:rRNA from 1 species